GUCACGAGCAACGUUCGAUUUCUUUGUGCUGCUGACAGUGCUGCUGUUUGUUGCUCUUCAAAAAGCAACAAGCAAUGAAGGCGGCGUCUUUUUUUGGAAGAGGUAGUGAAUUGAGAAUGCGCUUGUUUUUUGGAGUGCUUUUUCGCAUUGCCGUGCCAAUGCCGCAGCUGUCGGAUGAAUGUUGUCAUUGCAAAAUUGAAAAGCAUCGUUUCGCGUUGUGUUGCAUUGGGUCCGUUGGUGCCGUUGCGUUCGUGUGUUUCGGCGCACGAUUGAACUGGUUAGUUGGGAAAAAAGUCAAUUAUUCAUCAUAAUUGAUCUGACUGCCGUGCGUAACGGUAUUCUCUCAUUGGUGUGAUGGACUUUGUUUGUGGCCAACGCUCGGUGUGUUUUUUCAUCUGUGGCGUCAAUGUUAGCCUCCCAUCCGACCCGUCUUGAAACACGGACCAAGGAGUUCAGUAGGCACGCGAGUCGUUGACGUUGUGCAUUGAACAGUCGAAGGCGUAAUGAAAGUAAGAAAAAAGUGAACGGUGCUUUUCUUGGGUGCCGUUUGCUUUUCAACAUGAUCGUCCUUUGUUGUUUUGUUUGGGUGUGUUGCUUGAUUUUUGUAACUUGCGCCGCCCUUCUUAAUAAUAUUUUGGACGCGCAGUGUUGUGCCGUUGAACAGUCGCACUGUUUGUCCAUCUCUCACGGGUUGGAGAAACAAUUGUCGAUCAGUCGGUUUCGGAGCGUGCACACUGGUACCCGAAAGAUGGUGAACUAUGCUUGAGCAGAAUGAAGCCAGAGGAAACUCUGGUGGAAGUUCGUAGCGGUGUUGACGUGCAAAUCACUCGUCUGACUUGAGUGUAGGGGCGAAAGACUAAUCGAACCAUCUAGUUGCUGGUUCCUUCCGAAGUUUCCCUCAGGAUAGCUGGCAUUUGUGUGUAACAAUUUUAUCCGGUAGAGCGAAUGAUUAGAGGUGUUGGGAACGCAAUGUUCUCAGCCUAUUCUCAAACUUCGAAUGGGUAAGCAAGGCGAUUUGCUUUGAUCUGUUGAUGAAAUCGCCCAACUUUUUUGUGUUGAAGAAUGUAUAAAUGCCUAGGAUAUAGACAGCAGGACGGUGGCCAUGGAAGUUGGAAUCCGCCAAGGAGUGUGUAACAACUCACCUGCCGAAUCGACUAGCCCUGAAAAUGGAUAGCGUUUGAGCGCCAGGCCCAUACCUGACCGUCUCAGUUACGCACUUUUGUUGUUUCAAUGAUGAAGGUGUAAUGAACGUUGAGACGGGUAGGAAGGUCGCGACAGUGUUGCUUUGAAGAGUUUUGAGCGUGAGCUCGCUCGGAGCCGCUGUUGGUGCAGAUCUUGGUGGUAGUAGCAAAUAUUCAAGUGAGAACCUUGAAGGCUGAAGUGGAGCAAGGUUCCAUGUGAACAGCAGUUGGACAUGGGUCAGUCGAUCCUAAGAAAACGGCGAAAGCUUGUUCGAAUUUACGACAUAAAAAAUGUAAAACUGUGUGUGUGUAGUGUGCUUGUGUGUGUACUAUACUGAUAUAGCAGUAGUGGUGGUGGUGGUUUGUCAGUCAGCAGUAGUGUUUGUCUGUGGCAGCUCUGCUGCUGCUGCUGCUGCUGCUGCUAUUGUUUACUUGCUGUUGUUGUGUGUUGUUGUACACACACACCCACACAAUUCUGUGUGCAGUUGUCGUAUGUUUUCGAAAGGGAAUCCGGUUGAUAUUCCGGAACCGAGUAACGGAGACAAAGAGUAGCGCUUUAAUCUUCCGGUUGGCGUUCAACUCAAUCGCGCGGUAACGCAAGCGAACUCGGAAAAUGACCGUCGUGAGUUUCGAAAAGAGUUUUCUUUUCUUUUUAAGGGACGCAUUCCCUGGAACCGGGUUGUCCGGAGAUAGGGAUUCUGGUAUCCAUAAAACGCCGACUCUUUCACGGUGUUCGGAGCGCUCUCGUCGGUACGUGAAAAUCCGAGCGACGCCUGGUAAAUCUCGUACUUGGUCGUACUGAUAUCCGCAGCAGGUCUCCAAGGUGAAUAGCCUCUGGCCGAUAGAAUAAUGUAGGUAAGGGAAGUCGGCAAAACGGAUCCGUAACUUCGGAACAAGGAUUGGCUCUAAGGGCUGGGCCGAUCGGGCUGAGGUUUCAAGCGUGCAGUGUAUGCUUGGCUGAGCUGUGCUGAGGAUUGAUUAGCUUGGUGCCGUUUGUUGACCCAAGCGGCUGUCCAGGUGGUCAUGUCUGAAGCAAAGCUGGCCGACAGACCGGCACGUGCAGAACCUGAGCUGCGCGGCUGUCAGUUUAUUUGUACAGACCGUUUCGGUCGGCAUUCAACAGCCAACUUAGAACUGGCACGGACACAAGGAAUCUGACUGUAUAAUUAAAACAAAGCAUUGCGAUGGCCGAUGAUCGGUGUUGACGCAAUGUGAUUUCUGCCCAGUGCUCUGAAUGUCAAAGUGAAGAAAUUCAACCAAGCGCGGGUAAACGGCGGGAGUAACUAUGACUCUCUUAAGGUAGCCAAAUGCCUCGUCAU
rnacentral:rRNA from 1 species